AUCUGUUGCUGGUGGUCCAAACCGAGAACGAUUGGCACAGCGAUGUGAACGGGAUUCCGUCUGAGUUGCCUUGGUUGGUGUUGAUUGUGCUCCACCUUCCACCGGGAAACCUGCAAGCAAGCCUCGCACCACCACUGGGGUAGUGGGGGCCCUCCGACGAUCAAGUCAGAGGAGAUUGGAGGAGAAGGAGAGAUAAUUGCAGGUAGUAGGAGAAUGCUCUGGAAGUUCUUGCUCACCUCCCCCCUUCUCCCCCCCGCAGCAUAUAUAC
rnacentral:lncRNA from 1 species